AGCUCUGAAGAGCGGAGAUUGGCGAUUUGGGGUGCUGGGUACGCCUCGGUUUCAAGUUGUGGCUGGAGGAUCUCCGCCGUCGUGUUGUUCCGGCUGUCGGUGCUACUUCCGCGGCUGCUCCUUGGGCGCAGCUUCGCCGUCCACACGAAUUGUGUCGUUGCUGUUCUGGUCAUCCAUCUCGCCAUGCGUCUUCUCAGCCUGCAUCGCCGUUGCUGUUCUGGUCAUCCAUCUCGUCGUGCGUCUACUCGGCCUGCUGCUUUGCCCUGCGUGCGAUCUGAUGGAAUGCAUUCAACAUACAUGGUGGAAGAGAGUUGCCCCCAGGCCCCCCACUACUGAACCACGACGUCCACAAUAAGGAGAUGGAGAUCAUCGUCCCAGGGGGUUGACGAUAUAUCUAUGGAUAUUAUACUGACUGAUAGCCCAUGGUUCAUUUGAGCUCACUUUGGCACGAAUGCCGUGAUGAAGGAGAGAAAAAAGGAAAAAGUUGCUAUGGUUUUCCUUGCAGCUCAAUUUUCACCCUUCCCAGGUUAAUAUUCACUAUUUUCUUUGGACCAAGUUUAUGCUGCCUUUUCUCUGCACACACAUCAUCAGAACUGAACAAAGAGGCAUCACAUAGGUUUAGAUGGUGCGUGUGAACAUGGUUUAAGAUAUGAUGUUUCUUGGAGAGAGCAAACUAACCUUUUCAAUUUCACGAUCUAUUAACUAAAAUAUUGAUCAACGACACAUUCUGAUCUUCAGCUUUGUUUUUGCCUUAUUGUCACUUAAUUAGGUAAUAUAGUAAGAAAGCAUAGUGAAUGAGACUCGAAGGAAUUUUGAUGUCAACUCGUGAUUAGCAGAACUUAAAAUGAUCUCUUUAGACAAGUAUCAGAUUGAAGGAACCAAUAUAGAACCAUA